rnacentral:rRNA from 1 species
UUGCUUCUGAUUGAUAACAUUUGAGUGAGUGGCGGACGGGUGAGUAACACGUGGGUAACCUGCCCUAAAGUGGGGAUAACGAUUUGGAAACAGAUGCUAAUACCGCAUAAAACCUAACACCGCAUGGUGGUAGGGUUUGAAAGAUGGUUUCGGCUAUCACUUUAGGAUGGACCCGCGGUGCAUUAGUUAGUUGGUGAGGUAAAGGCUCACCAAGACCGUGAUGCAUAGCCGACCUGAGAGGGUAAUCGGCCACACUGGGACUGAGACACGGCCCAGACUCC